GGUGAGAAUCCUGUCCGCCGCAAGACUAAGGUUUCCUGGGGCAGGCUCGUCCGCCCAGGGUAAGUCGGGACCUAAGGCGAGGCCGAGAGGCGUAGUCGAUGGACAACAGGUUGAAAUUCCUGUACUGCACCGAAUCGUUAUGAGCGAUGGAGGGACGCAGGAGGCUAGCAGCGCGUGGUGCUGGAUACCACGUUCAAGCGUCAAGUCUGAGAGCGAGUCAAAUGCUUGCUUUCAUAAAGGACAAGGCGUGAUGAGGAGCGAAAUUAAAGUAGCGAAGGCUGCGACGUCACACUGCCGAGAAAAGCUUCUAGCC
rnacentral:rRNA from 1 species